CAGCGAAAUGCGAUAAGUAAUGUGAAUUGCAGAAUUCAGUGAAUCAUCGAAUCUUUGAACGCACCUUGCGCCCUUUGGCUAUUCCGAAGGGCAUGCCUGUUUGAGUAUCAUGAACACCUCAACUCUCAUGGUUCGCCAUGAUGAGCUUGGACUUUGGGGGUCUUGCUGGCCUGCGGUCGGCUCCUCUCAAAUGAAUCAGCUUGCCAGUGUUUGGUAGCGUCGCAGGUGUGAUAACUAUCUACGCUUGCGGUUUUCUACCAGAUAACCUUCAGUGAUGGAGGUUCGCUGGAGCUCAUAAAUGUCCCUCCUCAGUGAGGACAGCUUUUCAAACGUUUGAUCUCAAAUCAGGUAGGACUACCCGCUGAACUUAAGCAUAUCAAUAAGCGGAGGAAAAGAAACU
rnacentral:rRNA from 1 species